AGAGAGAGAGAGAGAGAGAGAGAGAGAGAGAGAGAGAGAGAGAGAGAGAGAGAGAGAGAGUAGGAAGAGAAAAUCAUAUUCAUAACUCAUCAAGUGAACACGCGGCUGCCGGAUUGCCACACACACACACACACACACACACACACACACACACACACACACACACAGCUCAGAUGACGCUGGUGGGGGGGGAGGGAAGCCACAGCAUCGUCGUGUGUGUGUGUGUGUGUGAGAGAGAGAGAGAGAGAGAGAGAGAGAGAGAGAGAGAGAGAGAGAGAGAGAGAGAGAGAGAGAGUGUUUCGCCUUUAGCCUAUGUACUGGUCAGCAAGGUCAGGUUGGCUUCCUUGCUCCUCCUCCUCCUCCUCCUCCUCGUCGUAAUGACCAAUAAUUAAGAGAAAUCCUGAGGCAAACGAGGUCAGGUGAGAACAGGUAAUGGUGGGAGCCUAAAGGUCAUCUCCUCCUCCUCCUCCUCCUUCUCCUCCUCCUCCUCCGUCAGGGAAACAACAACAGCUUCUUCACUUCCCCAGAGCUUUUCUACAUGAGCUCUUCUCUCUCUCUCUCUCUCUCUCCCGCCACUCAACACGCAAUCAAGAUCACGUGAUUCGGGUUAUCUUUUCGCUUUUUUUUUCUUCUCUCCUCUUCCUUCCUCUUCUUUCCUCCAUCUCUCCCUUCCCUCCCUCUCUCCCUCCUCCUUUCCUCCGACACGUCACCUCCAUCACAAAUUCAUUACUCGUUAACGUGUGUGUGUGUGUGUGUGUGUGUGUGUGUGUGUGUGUGUGUGUGUGUGUGUGUGUGUGUUCUCGUGCGUGAAGGCAUAAGGGAGGAGCGUAAAGGUGCUGUGUGGUUCUACAGGAAUGUGUGUGUUUGUGUGUGUGUGUGUGUGUGUGUGUGUGUGUGUGCGUGUGUGUGUGUGUGUGUGUGUGUGUGUGUGUGUGUGUGUGUGUGUGUAACCUAACAGCCAACAGAUGUACUUAUAAUUCCUCCAAAAAUAUCUAGGUAAAUAUUUAUGUAUGUAUGUAUGUAUGUAUGUAUGUAUGUAUGUAUUUAUGUAUGUAUGUAUGUAUGUAUGUCUCCGUAACACAUGUAAGGCAGCAUCAGUAAAGGUCUGUCUUAGUGUACGAGCAAACUUGAAGACUUCCUUAUGUGACUUUUACGAGCAUGUUACUUAAGCUCCGAAUGACACCACACACAGCAGGCUUCCGCGGUUAGCUUGAGAAUGAGGGGAAAAUUUUUAAUGAGAUGGAUGUAGUUUUACGCCUUGGAAACAGAGCAAAAAAUAUUAUACAGUGACCCCCAUAUGUUAAGCGGUAUGAAGAUGAGCAAAGUAAUGUAGGUUUUGAGGACAUGAUAUACGUGUUGCUGGGGAUUGCAUGUGGGUGACGGAAGGAGAUGAGAGAGGGGUCUUAUGCUUUUAAAAAUAGAGCAAAAACUAGUGUGCUUUGAUCCCCAUAUAUUAAGUGAUACAAACUAGAUAGGACGAUAAUUUAACUUUGGAUGAUUCUGUAUACAUUUUUUUUACUAGGGAUAACUCGUGAAUAAGGAUAGAUACAAGUUAUACGCCUUUGAAAAUAGAGAAGGUGAUUGAAUACUUUGACUCCCAUAUAUUGAUACAGACACGAGAUUAAAUAAUAGCUUUGGAGGAUUCGAUAUACAAAAGUUUCCGAACGUUUGAUGUGAAUUAGAGAAAGAGGCGAGUGUUACGACUUUGAAAAUAGAGUGAACAAUAUAAUACUUUGACCCUCACGCAUUAAGUUAAGUAUUACAGAUGCGAAAAAGAUAUAAUAUUACUUUGGAUGAUAUUUUACACAAGAGUUUCUGUAGGUGAGAUGUGAAUGAGGGAGAUGAAUUAGAUGUCUUUGAAAAUUGAAUAGGGAAUAGAAUACUUCGACUCUCAUACAUUAAACUAAGCGGUACAAAUACUAGAGAAAUACAACUCUGGAGGAUACGAUAUACAAGAGUUUCUGUAGGUGAGAUGUGAAUGAAGGAAAGAGAUGAGUUAGAUGUCCUUGAAAAUAUAACAGAGAAUAGAAUACUCUGACCCAUAUACAUUGAAUUUAGUGAUACAUAUACGAGAUAAAUAAUAUAACUUCAGAGGAUGCACUGUACAUGUUAUAUUCUGUAGGUCGCACAAGGGAUGGGGGAAUACGCGGCAGCGGCAGCGGUGGAAUUUUUUUCACGCUUUUAAACUGGAACAUUGUGACCUCUUUGUGACCGUACACGUUAAUUAAAACCGGCGCACGGGGGGAAAGGUGAACACGUAGCCUACCUGACACAGCACCACACAUUAAUUAAAUACAGGUGCAUAGGUGAAAGGUGUUACGCUGCCCACCUGACAGUACCAUUCAUUAAUUAAAACAUGUGCGUAAGUGAAAGGUGGGCACGAGCUACCUGACAGUACCACGAUUUCUGGGCCAACGGAGCAAGUGAAUGGAGGGAUUUUUUUUGCGUUUUUAAAAGUGAAUGAAAAUAUAACCCUGUGACCUCUGUGACC